rnacentral:rRNA from 1 species
GACGAACGCUGGCGGCGUGCCUAAUACAUGCAAGUCGAGCGCAGGAAAUCGACGGAACCCUUCGGGGGGAAGUCGACGGAAUGAGCGGCGGACGGGUGAGUAACACGUAAAGAACCUGCCCUCAGGUCUGGGAUAACCACGAGAAAUCGGGGCUAAUACCGGAUGGGUCAUCGGACCGCAUGGUCCGAGGAUGAAAGGCGCUUCGGCGUCGCCUGGGGAUGGCUUUGCGGUGCAUUAGCUAGUUGGUGGGGUAAUGGCCCACCAAGGAGACGGUGCAUAGCCGACCUGAGAGGGUGAUAGGCCACACUGGGACUGAGACACGGCCCAGACUCCUACGGGAGGCAGCAGUAGGGAAUCUUCCACAAUGGACGAAAGUCUGAUGGAGCAACGCCGCGUGAACGAUGAAGGCCUUCGGGUCGUAAAGUUCUGUUGUAAGGGAAGAACAAGUGCCGCAGGCAAUGGCGGCACCUUGACGGUACCUUGCGAGAAAGCCACGGCUAACUACGUGCCAGCCGCCGCUGUAA